UACAGUCAUUACAGAGACACUGAAGUUUUUGUCCACAUAACAAAAUGUAACACCGUUAAAAUAAGAGCAUAAAUGGCUUUUUGGACCUUCCAUAAUGUCUCUUAAUAAUAAAGAAUCAACUUGUUUUAAUACCAGAUGCAGAAGGGUUAGCAGUUUUCCAAUUUUCUGUUGAAUGCGUUCAUUUAAUUUCCACAACAGAAUGAAUAUGAUUUAAGCUAUUUGUACUUUUUAAUGUGUGACUAGUUUUUUUAUUUUUUUUUAUUUUAAUUUAUGAGUUUUUAAACGGUGGAGUACAAAUUUCAUUGCCUAUUUUUGUCUGAGGACACAACAGUGAAGUUAUUUCUUUAUUUCUGUUUCACUCAGAGCACCAGCAUUUUAGACUAUCUUUCUUUUGAUUCUUUUCAAAACUAUUCGAUUUUGUUUUAAAUCAUUUCCCACAAACAUCAGCAACUCAUACUAGAAAAUAUAGCUAUCCUCAUUUUGCAAAAGAUUUGUUUUUUUUCUUAAUUGCAGAGGUAAACAUGAGAAACCAGCUGACCAGAUGUGCUGGAGCUGUGGUCGGGUUGCUAGGUGAUGGGCUGGUAUUAGCUGGGGUUGCUAAUUCAGGGGUAGUCUUUCUCAUUUGUGACUUAACAAUCCAGAGGUUUUUGAAAUGUCUCAUUUUUCAGACACCAAAAACAGUAAAUUAUUCCUGAAAACUAUUUAGGUAAUUUUUUAAGAUCUUUGUUGAAGCAGUAGGGACCCAAAGGGAAGUACAAAAAAAACAAAAAAAACAAGCAAAAGGUCAAUUUUGCAUAAUACGUCCCGUUUAUCCCCCAGUCUUUUCCUUUUGCGGAGCCAGAUCCUCGGUUCUGUUCGGUUCUGUUCAGUUCUGUUUGGUUCUGUUUGGUUCUGUUCGGGUUAGUUCAGUGCCUUGCUCACACCGGGUCUGUUUAAGUUUUUCCCUUUUACAAAUAAUUCAUCACCGUGCCACACUUCAGCAGUCGUCUGCAUCGGCGCUGCAAGCACUUUCCUGACAGCUUUUUUUUUUUCAAAGCGUCAUGUUGCAUUUGUAGCAUUUUCUGCUUUAAACUAGUUUUAUGCAGGCAAAACUAAACAGUUACUUUUUGGAUUAUCAAGGUUACAAAUCGCUGCUCCAGACUUUAAUUUUGGACUUCAUAAACAAAGUGGCUGCUUGUAAGAUCAGAUUAUGAAUGUUUUUCACUUUUUCUCCUACACACGUCACUAUUCUGACUGAAGACGGCUGCUGUCCUCAUGUCCAGGGUUUAAUGCUCCGGUAAGCACAAACUAAACGUAAAACCAAA